rnacentral:rRNA from 1 species
AUUGAACGCUGGCGGCAGGCCUAACACAUGCAAGUCGAGCGGAUGAAGGGAGCUUGCUCCUGGAUUCAGCGGCGGACGGGUGAGUAAUGCCUAGGAAUCUGCCCGGUAGUGGGGGAUAACGUCCGGAAACGGGCGCUAAUACCGCAUACGUCCUGAGGGAGAAAGUGGGGGAUCUUCGGACCUCACGCUAUCAGAUGAGUCUAGGUCGGAUUAGCUAGUUGGUGGGGUAAAGGCCUACCAAGGCGACGAUCCGUAACUGGUCUGAGAGGAUGAUCAGUCACACUGGAACUGAGACACGGUCCAGACUCCUACGGGAGGCAGCAGUGGGGAAUAUUGGACAAUGGGCGAAAGCCUGAUCCAGCCAUGCCGCGUGUGUGAAGAAGGUCUUCGGAUUGUAAAGCACUUUAAGUUGGGAGGAAGGGCAGUAAGUUAAUACCUUGCUGUUUUGACGUUACCAACAGAAUAAGCACCGGCUAACUUCGUG